rnacentral:rRNA from 1 species
GGUGAACGCUGGCGGCGUGCUUAAGACAUGCAAGUCGAACGGCAAUCUUCGGACUGUAGUGGCGCACGGGUGAGUAACGCGUAACUGACCUACCCCAAAGUCGCGGAUAACGAUUCGAAAGAAUCGCUAAUACGUGAUGUGCUGUCAGAUUGUGUUCUGCCAGUAAAGAUUGAUUGCUUUGGGAUGGGGUUGCGUUCCAUCAGCUAGUUGGUGGGGUAAAGGCCCACCAAGGCGACGACGGAUAGCCGGCCUGAGAGGGUGGCCGGCCUCAGGGGCACUGAGACACGGGCCCAACUCCUACGGGAGGCAGCAGUUAGGAAUCUUCCACAAUGGGCGAAAGCCUGAUGGAGCGACGCCGCGUGAGGGAUGAAGGUCUUCGGAUCGUAAACCUCUGAAUCAGGGACGAAAGACACUUCGGUGGGAUGACGGUACCUGAGUAAUAGCACCGGCUAACUCCGUGCCAGCAGCCGCCGUAACAC